GACAGAGGGUGCAAACGUUGUUCGGAAUUACUGGGCGUAAAGCGCGUGUAGGCUGCUCUGCAAGUCGGAUGUGAAAGCCCUGGGCUCAACCUAGGAAGUGCACUCGAAACUGCAGAGCUUGAGUCUCGGAGAGGAUCGCGGAAUUCUCGGUGUAGAGGUGAAAUUCGUAGAUAUCGAGAGGAACACCGGUGGCGAAGGCGGUUGCCUGGGGCUUUGCUGACGCUGAUGCGCGAAAGCGUGGGGAGCAAACAGG
rnacentral:rRNA from 1 species